rnacentral:lncRNA from 1 species
GUGUGUGUGUGUCUUAUUUUUGCCUUCGAUCUGUAGCCACAUGGCUGUGUUCCCUUUCUGUUUGUUUUCCCACUUCCCUUCUAAAUAUUUUGCAUCAUCUGGGAGACUUUGCCAGGCCGAGGUCGGCUGGCUUGGAGGGCCGCAUUCCUCUGAUCUGUGGCAUUAGGUAGUUGCCAUGGCAAAGGCUGCUUACCAGGAGGAACACUUCUCAGAGCUGGGCAAUUCCGAGCUCUUUCUUCCUCUCCUCCACAUGCUUGGAUAUUCUGACACUCACACCAGCCCAGAGAGGGCUUUCUCCAAUCGUAAACUAUGUUCCUGGAACGUGAACUUUAUUUUGUUUGCCUUUCAAGAUACAGAACUAUUUGGCUCUGUUUAUUUUUGUUCCAAAUGGGCAGGGCCCUCUUGCCUGGUCUGACUAAUGCACUUGUCAGGGCUGGAAUCUCCUAACAGUUCCUUCCUCCAGGCUGGCCUGGCUACUUCCCAAAAUAGGAUCAGAGCUCCAAGGAAGCAGAGAGAGACAAGCAAGGUCUGUUGAAGCCCAAGCCUGGAGCUGACACUAGCCCAUUCAAUACCUCAAAUUGGACCAAGGAAAUAACAGCAGUACAGACAAAGGGGAGGAAAAUGGACUGCAUUUUUCUUGGGAAGGACUGCAAAGAGUUAUGGAAUUCUUGUAAUUAACCAGUAAAGAGACGUACACCAAUCCCCGACCCUGAUCCAUGACACUCUCUAAUCAGUAGUUCAUGAUGAGAACCUAGCCCAGCUUUGAAAAGGAAAAUAAUUAAAUCCAGGAAUGUAGCACAUUCUGGGUUACUAGGCUGUAAAGAAGUAUUUCUUUGUGUCCAGCAAAGCACCAGCUAGCAAUAAUUUGCUGAAGUAUGUCGUUGCGAAAUUCUUGAUGAUGCCAUCAGGUGCUUAGUAAAUGGUGUGAUGAUCUCUGCAUCGUUUACUUCCCUGUACACUGAUUUUUUGAUGAUGGUGGUAUCGAUGAUAAUUAUUUGUUUUCUAUGUGGAGGCUACAGACAUGGUGCGUUAAAACGUUAGUUUCAAUUAUACUCUUACUCUCUGUCUACUGGCAGUCUCGGUUGAGGAUGGGGAUAUGGUAACGUUUAGACUCUAAACUUUAAAGGGUUCAGUAACUUUAUCAGUUAUGCACCUAGAGGAAGUGAGCACCAAGAACAAACUUCAAGAUACAUUAAAAAUCCUGAUACAAUUCUGGGUCUCUGGACAUGUAUUUAUUAGUGCUAAGAGUCACCUAAGCAUCCUUAACAGAGAAUUAAAAAAAAAAAAAGUCAGCAAUUACAAGAGCACUAUCGGCAUCUCACAGAUUAGUUUAUCAAAACCAAAGGGGGGGGGGGGAAACCUGUCCAAAUCAACAAGCAAGUAUCAAAGCUGGAAUUGAAAUGUGCAUGUGGAAACACUAAGCUCUGUAUUGCUUCCCUUAAACCUCUGUGUUACAGAAGAGUAUGGCAGUGGUCAAUGCCCUCUCACUGAAUUCAUCUGGUUCUUAGAAUCACACGAAAUAACAAUUCUAUUGCCUUGUUUUUGGCAUCUAAAGAAUGUGGAGUUGGAGUAAAUAUGUUUUGUCUCCCCUUCCCUUACAUUUGAGUUUAUUUCUUUUUGGACACUUGUAUCCUAUUAACACUGACAUAUUUUAACACUUGCACUAUGGCCUGAACACUUCUGUAACAAACUCUGAAUUUGUUGUAAUAUUUAAUAGGACACACUUUGUAGCCUACCUUCAAAAAAUCUCAUGCAGUUCUACAUUUCUUCACGCAACAUGGAAGGAACAUAGACUGGCUGAGAGGAAUUUGGAAAGAUCUAUGUCUCAAAAUUAGCAGAACACUGACUGGAUUAAAAACGGGACCUCUGAAAAAUCAAGAAAGACAGACUGCAAAGGUCACAGCCUUCUAGAAGACCCAAAGACUAUCUGAUUUGAAGCAGUGCUCAGUACUUGCCUGGGAUACUACUGCAGUGUAGAUUCUCAACACAGGAAACAUUUUCAGAAAUGAACUCUCAAGUCUGUACUCCCACUACGGUACACAUUAGAAUGCCAUUCCAAUGUUGAAUUAAAGAUGCGUCACUGCCACCACCUA